UACGUAGGUGGCGAGCGUUGUCCGGAUUUACUGGGCGUAAAGGGAGCGUAGGCGGACUUUUAAGUGAGAUGUAAAAUACUCGGGCUCAACUUGAGUGCUGCAUUUCAAACUGGAAGUCUAGAGUGCAGGAGAGGAGAAUGGAAUUCCUAGUGUAGCGGUGAAAUGCGUAGAGAUUAGGAAGAACACCAGUGGCGAAGGCGAUUCUCUGGACUGUGACUGACGCUGAGGCUCGAAAGCGUGGGGAGCAAACAGG
rnacentral:rRNA from 1 species